GGAUAACCUUGCGAAAGUAAGACUAAUACCCAAUGAUAUCUCUAGAAGACAUCUGAAAGAGAUUAAAGAUUUAUCGGUGAUGGAUGGGGAUGCGUCUGAUUAGCUUGUUGGCGGGGUAACGGCCCACCAAGGCAACGAUCAGUAGGGGUUCUGAGAGGAAGGUCCCCCACAUUGGAACUGAGACACGGUCCAAACUCCUACGGGAGGCAGCAGUGAGGAAUAUUGGUCAAUGGACGAGAGUCUGAACCAGCCAAGUAGCGUGCAGGAAGACGGCCCUAUGGGUUGUAAACUGCUUUUAUAAGGGAAUAAAGUUAGUCUCGUGAGACUUUUUGCAUGUACCUUAUGAAUAAGGACCGGCUAAUUCCGUGCCAGCAGCCGCGGUAAUACGGAAGGUCCGGGCGUUAUCCGGAUUUAUUGGGUUUAAAGGGAGCGUAGGCCGGAGAUUAAGCGUGUUGUGAAAUGUAGACGCUCAACGUCUGCACUGCAGCGCGAACUGGUUUCCUUGAGUACGCACAAAGUGGGCGGAAUUCGUGGUGUAGCGGUGAAAUGCUUAGAUAUCACGAAGAACUCCGAUUGCGAAGGCAGCUCACUGGAGCGCAACUGACGCUGAAGCCCGAAAGUGCGGGUAUCGAACAGGAUUAGAUACCCUGGUAGUCCGCACGGUAAACGAUGGAUGCCCGCUGUUGGUCUGAAUAGGUCAGCGGCCAAG
rnacentral:rRNA from 1 species